UCGGGAAUUUUAGGCAAUGGGCGAAAGCCUGACCCAGCAACGCCGCGUGAGGGAUGAAGUAUUUCGGUAUGUAAACCUCGAAAGAAUGGGAAGAAUAAAUGACGGUACCAUUUAUAAGCUCCGGCUAACUACGUGCCAGCAGCCGCGGUAAUACGUAGGGAGCAAGCGUUGUUCGGAUUUACUGGGCGUAAAGGGCGCGUAGGCGGCGCGGUAAGUCACUUGUGAAAUCUCUGAGCUUAACUCAGAACGGCCAAGUGAUACUGCUGUGCUAGAGUGCGGAAGAGGCAACCGGAAUUCUUGGUGUAGCGGUGAAAUGCGUAGAUAUCAAGAGGAACACCUGAAGCGAAGGCGGGUUGCUGGGCCGACACUGACGCUGAUGCGCGAAAGCCAGGGGAGCAAACG
rnacentral:rRNA from 1 species